rnacentral:snRNA from 1 species
AAACUUGGUUUCUCUUCAGAGCGUAUAAAUCUUUCGCCUUUUACUAAAGAUUUCCGUGGAGAGGAACAUUUAUGAGUUUCGUAUAAAAGAGCUUUGGUGGCUCAGGCUGUUAAAUGCCUGC